AUGGCAGGAUCACAAGCCGAUGAGACUAACUGGGAGAACAUGACAAAUAAGGAGUUGCAUGAUAAAUUUCAGCAAAUGAUGAGUGGACAGGUGCAAGAUGUGCUAAACAGAUUUGAAGAGGCCAUGGAGAAGAUAGAUGGCAUGGAGAAGAUGUUGGAAACAAAGCUCGAUAACAAGUUUAAUGAAUUGCUCGCGCGUCUUCCACCACCACCACCGGCUGCCCAUAACGCACCGCUACAACAACAACAACAACAAUUCCAAAUCAAGUGGGACGAGCACAGCGCGUUCCCAUUGACCCUGGGCGAAAUACUGGUGCCGCUGUUGAUGCUUCUGCCGCUCCUGCUGCUACUGCAGAGGUGGAGGACCAUUACGAGGAUGAGGUUGACCAAAAUCGGAACUACGUUCAACCACUAG
rnacentral:rRNA from 1 species